GGGAGAGGCUGACUACCCACGAAAGGCGCGACAAGCCUCCUGACUGUUGCUUCUCCUCCCUCUGAGCAGAGCUGUUCUAUGUGGUGCCUGGAAGCGGAGGCACCUUGGAUAGACCAAAUAUCCUUAUUUGGAUUCAGAAAAUUGCAUUGGAUAGACCAGCUCUAGAUUAUUAAAUAUGGUUUUCUAUGGGUGAGCAGAUGGCGACUAGUGGAAGGCAUAUGUUCUGUAUCAGAAACUAGAGCUGAUGUGGUCUAUCCAAUGCAAUUCUUUAAAUCAGCACCCCAAAUAAUCAAACAGAAUCUAAAGCUUACCAAAAACUGAUUUGUAACCCUUUUGGUACUAAUAUUGGAGGGUGGUUCCUGGUCAAAGUGGUCCCUGGUUAAAAAAAAAAAAGGUUGGGAACCACUGAUAUAAAAGUUUUUUUGAUGGUGAUAUUGUGCUUUUAUUUACUGUGUUGGGUUUUAAUACUUUUAAGCUGUUUUAAGUUAGCAAUGUUUUUAAUAGGACGGCUUAUUGCUUAGAACCUUUUUUAUUACAGUGAUAGUUUUUAGCUGUAUUUUGCUUUCUGUGCUGACUUGAGUUUCCUAUUGCAGGAAAAGUGGGAUAUGCCACAAAAUGAAAUAAGAUACUUGUGUAAUUUAGAGCCUGCUUCCAUAUUAGACAAAGCAUGCUCCUGAAUCUUGCUGGCUCUGAGUUUAACAGGGAUGGUCUAGCAAGGAAUCCAAGGCAUCAUGCAAUCAUAAUAGCCUAACACAAGUAUCUUGCUAGCAACAUGGGUGGAUCCUGGCUGAAGACACAGAGUACUUCAGUGUUUUUUUCUGACUCCUCUGCUGCUACUCAUUUGAUGUCAACCAGCAGUACACUCAGAAAAUGCUAGCUCUCAAAAAGAAGCCAAGAGCUAUAAGGCCGGUCAGAUGUUCCGGGCAUUGAAUCAAAGCAGCAUAAAGACAAGCAGGCAUCCAUGAAAAGGACCAGCAUUUCUGUGAGUUGUUCUGUGUAUCUUCACAGCUCUUCAUGAUCCAGGACUUCAGGACCCAGACUUAGGCACAGCAAACGUAAUUAUUCCAUAAUGAGAUGUUUAUGCUACUUUGUCUCAAUAUAACCUGUGUAUAAAUUAUGGUAAUACAGCAACAACAGUAAAGACAACAAUAAUAGUACUGAUCUUGAACCAGACCUCAGUUUAUACUGGAUUUGCUAUAUCUUUAACUAUGGCUCAUUGAGGCUAUUGAGAUAGGUGCAUCAAGAAGAACCCAGUGGUAAGUAAAGGUUGGGCAAUUGUUUGAUUGUUCAGAUACCAUAAUAUAGAGUAGGUAAAGGUUUCCCCUGACUUAACGUCCAGUCAUGUCUGACUCUGGGGGUUGGUGCUCAUUUCCAUUUCUAAGCUGAAGAACCGGCAUUGUCCGUAGACACCUCCAAGGUCAUGUGGCCAGCAUGACUGCAUGGAACGCCGUUACCUUCCCGCCAGAGUGGUACCUAUUGAUCUACUCACAUUGGCAUGUUUUCGAACUGCUAGGUUGGCAGAAGCUGGAGCUAACAGCGGGUGCUCACUCCGCUCCCAGGAUUUGAACCUGGGACUUUUCGGUCUGCAAGUUCAGCAGCUCAGUGCUUUAACACACUUCGCCACUGGGGCUCCUUAAUAUAUAGAGUAGGAAUGGACAAAAGUGCUACCCAGUUGUACAUAGGCAUCAAGACUAUUUCUGAGAUCUCCCCAGUUUUCCUGGGCUACUCUUUUUUGGCCUGUGAUAAGAGUGAAUUGUCUUUCCUAAAGUAGUCCCUUCAUAUGAAGAACAGAUAUUUGUCAGCCUGAUCACAUGGGGCAAAAAACAUGUCCUAGCACGUUUCUACCCCAGUUUACCCAUGGAGCCCCAUUUUGCCCAUCAGACAAUGUAAGUAACUUCUGGUGGGGCUCUGUGGGUGAACUGGGGUGGCGGAGUAAUGGGACGCUGAUGCCAACACAGAAGCCACCCCAUGUUACAUAAGGAAUAAUGUGACUUCAGCAGACUCAAGCCACAUAGCGACACUUUCCCACGUGGAAUGGGAAAGCAUCAGGUGGCAGCUGGGACAUCGGGAUUGCCCCACUGCCUUCCUGAUGCUACCCAGAUUUGCCACAGAGGCUGGUGAAUCACAUCGCUGGGCCUCAUCCAUGUGAUGAGGUCCUGUGUAUCAAUCCUCCAUAUUUACCAGGGAGUUGGUCAAGCCACUGCUUUCUAUAAUGAAUUCUAGCAGAAUCCUACCCCAGAUGAUCUAUAUCAGAGAUAAUGUAUGUGCAGAUGUGAGCAACUAUGCAUACACGUUUCUAUGGCUGCACAGAAAUCAUAUGGAUUUUUAAAAAUUGUAAUAUACCAUUUUAAACUACAACUUUAGAUGAUACUAUAAACUCAUCCUGAAAGGUGCCUGUUUAUUGCUUGUCCAGAUAAUGGCAAGAGUUUCAGUUUCCAGGCUGCAUCUACACUGAAAAUUAAUGUGGUUUGAUACCGCAUUAAUUCCUAUGCACACUGCACAUAUCUUAUUUAUAGUGCAAAGAACCAUUAAAGAAUGAUACAAUAUUUAAAAUGAAGAACAAUUUUAACCAACAUAAACUUACCAGUAUUUCAAUGGGAAGUAUGGGCCUGCUUUUGGCUGAUGGGAUAGUCAAGUUAAUUAGGAUUGUUGUUGUUGUGUGCCUUCAAGCCAUUUCAGAUUUAGGGUAAACUUCAGUCUAAAGUUUAGGGCGGGGCUGGGUAAAUGACCUUGGAAAGCCUCAGUUUGGGGACCCCUGUUCUAUAUUGAGCCACUGCAAUCAAAGUGGUGUCAUACUGCAUUAAUUCUACAGUGUGGAUGCAUCCUUAGUUGCAAAGUCCAACCAGGCUUAUAUGACAUAAUGAUUCCCUGUGCAUCAAAUCUACUUUUUUUGCUAUUAUAAUUCUUUGCUCCAUUAACAUUCUCUUUUUUCCCCUCACCUCCUCCUAAAUCAAAUCUUUUUCAUGCUCUCCAAAUUUUCCAAUGGAGGUGUGGAAGGAAACAUUAUGCUAAGACUGAUGAGCAGUGCUGACAAUUGUACAAAAAGGCCAUGAGAAAGAUUACAAACAUCUACACUGUUAGUUACAGGGGCAUUAUCCAUAAAGCAUGUAAUCCUAUCCAAACCUCCCUACAACAGUUUCACAGUAUGCCAGAAUUCUUUUCUUUUCUUUCUUUUUUUGGGGGUGGGGGAUUUUCAUCUCAUGAUCCCAUGUAAUACAUAGUAUUGGCAUUUCUUAUCACUUCCAGCCAUGCAUUUCUCCAUUUUUUAAUGUUUGUUCCAAAUUUCAGUUCUGUGCAUCCUUUUUUGCCUUAGACCAAAAGCCUAUCACACAUUUCCAUCAUUUUAAUUAAACUGGGGCCAAUGCAGGGCAAAUGUUUGAUUUCAACUCAAAAGGUGCAUGCAAAUUACAAAUUCUAGUCGAUUGGAGGGGAAAAAACCUGGAGAAUGCUUUUUGCUUCAUCCUUGCAGGAUUUUUCUUAAAAAAAAAUAAUUAAACACGUCUGACAAAUUUAUGACUGAGCAUCAUUUAAAAGAGAAAACAGUGUUUAUAAUAUUUUUGAAUGUGCAUUCUUUUAUCCUUUUUAUUAUGGGAAGUUAUUUGCGUUAUAUAUGUGAGGAAGCUGCUAUGAUUUUCUAGUAUAUUUUUCCCAUCGACUGAAGUAUUCAUGAUAGCCCAGACAGAAAAUGGGAUUUUGUAUGAAUUGAAUAGGAAUGGAAGGGGAAGUAGAUAACUGUAUGAUGUUCAUACAUGGGGAGAGCCUUAAGUUUGUAGCCGAGUAUUUUAAUAUCAAAUGAAUGCCUCCAUAGCUGAAAUUAUCAUGAAAGGAUUAGUUAUUCAUAAUCAUGAUUAAUAUUUGUUAUACAGAAAAAAUAAUGCCAUAUUUAAAUAGUCUGAACUCAGUGGACAAGAUCCUACUUAAAGCUGGCAGGGCAUAAAGUUCCACCAGAAAACUUUCUGUUUACACAUAUAAGGGAAUUUCAUGUAUAAGUCAAAGGAGUAUGGCAGGGCUGUAUACUUUCACCCUACCUAUUCAACUUGUAUGCAGAACACAUCAUGCGACGUGAGGGCUUGACAAAUCCAAGGCCGGAGUUAAAAUUUCUGGAAGAAACAUUAACAACCUUAGGUAUGCAGAUGAUACCACUCUGAUGGCCAAAAGCAAGGAAGGGUUGAGGAGACUUAUCACCAGGGUGAAAGAAGAAAGCGCAAAAGCCGGGCUGCAGUUAAACAUCAAGAAAACCAAGAUUAUGAUUCAAGAUACCUCACAAAAGUUUAGCCUUUUAAAGAGGAUCCAUCUCAACAGCAAUAAUUGCUGGAAUCCCAUGUAUCAGUGCAGACUACAAUAGACUCCUCCAAAUCAGUUGCUGAAAGGCAAGUCAAUAUGAAGAAUCAAAGUCUCCCCAAAAACAGAUGGAUGAAAUAGCUUGUCACUGCAAAUUGGUGAAAGAGAUGUACUCUCCAUAUUCUCAGAGGAACCAUUCCAGUCAGCCUACGGAUCCUGAGCAACCUGAGUUACUUCUGGGGUAAGACAAUUGGCCAUCUGCAAGGACAUUGCCCAGGGGAUGCCCGGAUGUUUUGAUGUUUUACCAUCCUUGUGGGAGGCUUCUCUCAUGUCCCCGCAUGGAGCUGGAGCUGAUAGAGGGAGCUCAUCUGCGCUCUCCCCGGGUGGGAUUCGAACCUGGCAGCCUUCAGAUCAGCAACCCAACCUUCAAGUCACAAGGCUUUAAUCCACUAGGCCACCGGAGGCUCCUACCUUUCUUGUGAUAGGUUGCCUUUGGGUUUCUCUACAACAGUUCAUGCCAACAUUGUUCAGCCAGCCCAGGAGUGAAUCUGCUUUGCUGGGGAACCUCUUUCAUGUUGAUGCCACUCCUAGCAUUCCAUUGAGUUCUAUGUAAACUUCCUCUACUGACAUCAGAACGGGGACUUCUCUUCUGCAAGUUGAACAUCCCCAACUUUUUAAGCCACUGCUUAUAGGGAUUUGUGACCUCCAGAUGUUUGAUCAUUUUAGUUGCCUUUCUAUGAACAUGUUCUAGCUUGUCAAUAUCCCUUUUGAAUUGUAGUGCCCAGACGUUGCUGUGCAUUGUGGGGACAGACAGCCUUCUAUUCCAGAUGAGUCCUAGAUAUUUUGCAAGUGUGGACAAACCUUUUGAUUGGCACCCCUAUUCUUGCACCUUGAUUCUAAGGAAUGAUAAAACAUUGAUCUAUUGUUAUAGAAACUACUGUAUCCAGAUUAGCGGCAUCUCUCUUUUGCUUCUAGUUCUUAAGAAGGCAGCUUUUGUAUCUAUCUUAUGAGCACUUACAUAGGCCGACUCUGUUUGUGGUCCUAUGUUGACAGUCCCAGGAAAUACCUCCCCACCUUUUCUGAUAUGUGGAAGAAAAAGGAGCAGGUUUCGAUACUUGAGUGUGAUUUCAGCUAAUAGCAUAUCAAAGGGAACUGCUGAAAGUAAGCUAAUUCUGUAAUGGGGUUGUCUUAUGUUAUCGUUUAUGUUUCCCUGUUGCAGUAAGAGUAUUUUAAUAAUCUACAUAUCGUUUAAUUAUAAUCCAUUUACCUGACAUAAGUAAUUCCAAUGCCCUUUAAUAUAACAAAUCUCCAGUGUGAAGGAUCUGAGUAAUGAGACCUGACAGGUGGUGCUGGCUGCUUCGCAGACCUGCCUUCCUUCCGCUGUUCUGGGUACUGUGAGCAAAACAAACCAAGGCUUAAUGUGCAAAGAAGUGAUGAUAAAAAGUGGCAUAAUGUUCCCAGUUAGAAUCUCCUUUUGUGUGAUGCUGUAUUCCUGGCAAGGAAUGCAUGCAUCUACGAGAUCUACAUCCAUAGAUUUCCUGCUUUUCUCACCUCCAUUUCUGGUCCCUGACUGCUUCACUUUAAGUGUGUGUUAGCAAAAGCCAGCAUGUUGUAGUGGUUUGAGCCUUGGACAAUGACGCUGGAGUGCCAAGAUCCAAAUCCCUGCUCAGCCACAGAAAUCCACUGAGUGAUCUUAGGCAAUUCACAUUCUCUCAACCUUUGAGGAAGGCAGAUGCAAACUCGAACUGAACAAAUCUUGCUAAGAAAAGCUUGUGAUAGGUUUGCCUUCAAGUUGCCAUAAGUCAAGAAUGACUUCAAGGCACACAGCCUCAAAAUUCCUUUUUUCAAGAAUGUUUUUCCAGGCAUAGACAUUGUCCACUGAUGAAGGCAUGCAUAUGUUUUUGCACAUACAGUAGAGUCUCACUUAUCCAACACUCGCUUAUCCAACAUUCUGGAUUAUCCAACACAUUUUUGUAGUCAAUGUUUUCAAUACAUCAUGAUAUUUUGGUCUAAAUUCGUAAAUACAGUAAUUACUACAUAGCAUUCCUGUGGAUUGAACUACUUUUUCUGUCAAAUUUGUUGUAUAACAUGAUGUUUUGGUGCUUAAUUUGUAAAAUCAUAACCUAAUUUGAUGUUUAAUAGGCUUUUCCUUAACCUCUCCUUAUUAUCCAACAUAUUCGCUUAUCCAACGUUCUGCCGGCCAGUUUACGUUGGAUAAGCGAGACUCUACUGUACCUACAUGUUGAUUUGCCAUUCACCAACUAGUUCAAUGGACCUACCAACAAGAUUUCAGGCAUGCAGUCUCACAUUCUUUGAUGAUAUAACUAUUCAUCUAUGCUUUCAAUUGAGUACUCACUGGAAUGACAGAAAAAGUCACCGAAAAUUCACCAUUGAACAAGAAGGCAAUAACCAAAUAUGUUGGCAGAUGCAGACGUGGUGCACAAUGUUGGUAUUUAGUAGAAAGAUAGUGUAAUACGCUAUGUAAAGUACGAGUGUACAUUUAUUCUACACAAGGUCUCAGUUGUAUGUGUAACUUCCACCACCAACACCAAUUAAUCAAAUAUAUAAAGGAAGAGAACAUAAACAUAAAUAGAAUACAUAAAAUAGAGAUGUGUGUGUGUGUGAACUAUAACAUGAUGAUGAGUUACCAAGGCCUCCUUACUUGGGGAAAUCAUGCAGCUGCUCUCUUGCCUAAACAUCUGGGAGUUUCUGAGUAACUCUAGUGCUGUUCAACUUUAAUUGGUUACAGAUUUGUUUCUGGUUCAAUUCAAGGUGUGGUUCAUGCCUUUAAAGACCUGGAAGGAUUUGUACCUGAGACCCUCAAUGACUACCUUCCUCAUUAUGUCCCUCCUUGUUGAACCCCUGGUUUUAUGUUUAAUGCCCAAGUUCUCCUGUUGACUGAAUAUUAGUAAAUAAAAUGGCACUUCCAAUUCUAA